GGAGCGGUGUCGGGCGUGUCGGGUCGGCGUCUCCGCAGUGCGCGCUUGUUGCCGAACUAUGGCCUCCGGCGCGCGCUGCGUCGGCAUCUCCGCGGCGCGCGGGCCAAGCCCGCCCCCGACCCCGACCCGGCGCCGGAAAACGUGGACACGGCAGACCUGCUGGGGCUCGCGGAGUGACUCUACCAAAUAACUAUGUCCAGGCCUAGUUAUAAUUACAUAAUCUUUGAUCUCUCAAUGUCGCGUAGCUGUUCUCAUUAUCGCAACUUCAAAUGCAACGAUUACGAAUCUCUCUCCUAUUUCAAACCCAUAGUGAUGUGUUUCUGAUUAUUUGCUAGUCAUAAUCAAGGUACCUACUAGUAGAGAUAAAUUAUCCAAACGCAGUGCCCAAUAUUACUAUACAGUGGUGUCACAAUCGAAAUGUGGUAAAUUAGAAGAAAACCUGGCCAUUCAAUUACUAGGAAAUUAAGUAACAGCUUGAAACAGAUAAUGAGAUAAGUAGCUUACCUUGCCUAACAAGGCAACAUUGUUACCUCAAUAUAUAAUUAUAAAAAUUUUGUCUAACCAAAAUUGUCAGUAGAAAAAAGAUUUCGAACCUAGGUACUUUGGAAGGACCCGCCGUUUAAAAAUGGUUUGUUCUCUAACCUUUAAUGAAUUAAAAUCUCGAGCUUAUCUGUAUAAGUGAUGAUUGUUGUUCCUAAUAUCCAGAUAUUUAAGUGUGUUGUUGAAUGAUCUGAUGUUGAAAUGUAAUAUUUUAAAUCUUUUUAAAUAUUUAUUAAUAAACUAUUUUGGAAAUUA